CCAAACCUGCAGGGACCGGUACAUGCAGAACCUCAAGUUCUGACAAAGUUAGAUGGAUUGAACAGCGACUCUGAGGGUAAACUCCUGCUCAUCUACUCCUACCUCUCCCCAUGUGACGAAAAGUGUACAAACCCGAGCAAUAAAUUCAACAUCAUUGAAACAAUUAAAGAAAAGGUCCUUCCAUAUUGGAGUAAAGUUGCCUUCGUGUUUACUAAAGUCUUCGAUGACCCCGUAUCAAGCUCUGGUCCUGACCCAACGGCCUUGAGACAAUCACUGGAAGGGCUCGGGGAUUCUGGGAUUGGCCUCCAAAACAUUUUCCGCUGUGACAAAAUAGGAGAAAACUUUCAGUGCCUCAGUUGCUCAUCACAGGGGUCAGUUUCAGAAGUUUGUGUUGAUAACAACUUUGUUCCUGGACAGGAAGCAAGCAGCAGCCAAGUCAGGGACAGAAUCAACACCGGCCGAAUCAGGGACAGAAUCAACACCGGCCGAAUCAGGGACAGAAUCAACACCGGCCGAGUCAGGGACAGAAUCAACACCGGCCGAGUCAGGGACAGAAUCAACACCGGCCGAGUCAGGGACAGAAUCAACACCGGCCGAGUCAGGGACAGAAUCAACACCGGCCGAGUCAGGGACAGAAGCAGCAGCAGGAACUGGUACAAGACCGGUCCAAAGAAACAAAGGAACAGGAGUCCUAGUGUGAGCAGCAGAGGUCCAAGAAGAAACGGUAGCAGCGGUAAAAGAAGCGGUAAAAGAAGCGGUAAAAGAAGCGGUAAAAGAAGCGGUAAAAGAAGUGGUAGGAGCACGAUGGCGGCUUAGAUGAGUUCUGGUUUCUGAUGUGAUUCAGUUGCUUCAUCAGAAUCUGACCCAGCUGACUGAGACAGAGAGGUUCUUUAUGCUUAAUGAUGCAUUUUUUUCCGGAGUUGCAAAAGUCUGUACAAAACUUCUGGAUGUUUCUACAGUCGUACCACUGAUCUGUGUGGCCUGUUGUUCUUCAUGCUGAUUAAAAACACGUGAACUCUUGUAAAUGAUCUUUAUUAUAUUUACAUGGAUAGAAAAUGAUGAUUUCCUCUUCUGGCGCUGACCCGUAGGUCAGCUGUCAGGACUCAGACCUGAUGUGACUCUGUGGACCACUUCACUGAUAACGUUUUCAGAGAGCAGGUUCUGAUGGUCCAGUACAACAUGGUUGUGUUCCAGUGCAGCUUUUUAAACCAUCCCUGAUAUAAAAGCUUUGACAUCCUGACAAACAUGUGAUCAUGAUCAUAUUUAAUGAUACCUGCCUGAUCUCUGUGGACUCACCUCAGUGCUGACGAUCAUUUUAUUCUGCAUGUAAAGACUGAACGCUUCACUGUUCUGCAUAUUAACUCUAAAUAAAGCUUCAGCAUCAAACACUGUCUCUGUGUGACAUUCACCUCAACCAGCAAAGACCAACAAUCAAUUAUCAGUCAGUUAUCAAUACA
rnacentral:lncRNA from 1 species